rnacentral:rRNA from 1 species
UCGAGCGGAUGAAGGGAGCUUGCUCCUGGAUUCAGCGGCGGACGGGUGAGUAAUGCCUAGGAAUCUGCCUGGUAGUGGGGGAUAACGUCCGGAAACGGGCGCUAAUACCGCAUACGUCCUGAGGGAGAAAGUGGGGGAUCUUCGGACCUCACGCUAUCAGAUGAGCCUAGGUCGGAUUAGCUAGUUGGUGGGGUAAAGGCCUACCAAGGCGACGAUCCGUAACUGGUCUGAGAGGAUGAUCAGUCACACUGGAACUGAGACACGGUCCAGACUCCUACGGGAGGCAGCAGUGGGGAAUAUUGGACAAUGGGCGAAAGCCUGAUCCAGCCAUGCCGCGUGUGUGAAGAAGGUCUUCGGAUUGUAAAGCACUUUAAGUUGGGAGGAAGGGCAGUAAGUUAAUACCUUGCUGUUUUGACGUUACCAACAGAAUAAGCACCGGCUAACUUCGUGCCAGCAGCCGCGGUAAUACGAAGGGUGCAAGCGUUAAUCGGAAUUACUGGGCGUAAAGCGCGCGUAGGUGGUUCAGCAAGUUGGAUGUGAAAUCCCCGGGCUCAACCUGGGAACUGCAUCCAAAACUACUGAGCUAGAGUACGGUAGAGGGUGGUGGAAUUUCCUGUGUAGCGGUGAAAUGCGUAGAUAUAGGAAGGAACACCAGUGGCGAAGGCGACCACCUGGACUGAUACUGACACUGAGGUGCGAAAGCGUGGGGGAGCAAACAGGAUUAGAUACCCUGGUAGUCCACGCCGUAACGAUGUCGACUAGCCGUUGGGAUCCUUGAGAUCUUAGUGGCGCAGCUAACGCGAUAAGUCGACCGCCUGGGAGUACGGCCGCAAGUUAAAACUCAAAUGAAUUGACGGGGGCCCGCACAAGCGGUGGA